UUAAGUUAUUAAGGGCGCACGGUGGAUGCCUUGGCACUAGAAGCCGAUGAAGGACGUUACUAACGACGAUAUGCUUUGGGGAGCUGUAAGUAAGCUUUGAUCCAGAGAUUUCCGAAUGGGGAAACCCAGCAUGAGUUAUGUCAUGUUAUCGAUAUGUGAAUACAUAGCAUAUCAGAAGGCACACCCGGAGAACUGAAACAUCUUAGUACCCGGAGGAAGAGAAAGAAAAUUCGAUUCCCUUAGUAGCGGCGAGCGAAACGGGAAGAGCCCAAACCAACAAGCUUGCUUGUUGGGGUUGUAGGACACUCUAUACGGAGUUACAAAGGACGACAUUAGACGAAUCAUCUGGAAAGAUGAAUCAAAGAAGGUAAUAAUCCUGUAGUCGAAAAUGUUGUCUCUCUUGAGUGGAUCCUGAGUACGACGGAACACGUGAAAUUCCGUCGGAAUCUGGGAGGACCAUCUCCUAAGGCUAAAUACUCUCUAGUGACCGAUAGUGAACCAGUACCGUGAGGGAAAGGUGAAAAGCACCCCGGAAGGGGAGUGAAAUAGAACCUGAAACCGUGUGCUUACAAGUAGUCAGAGCCCGUUAAUGGGUGAUGGCGUGCCUUUUGUAGAAUGAACCGGCGAGUUACGAUUUGAUGCAAGGUUAAGCAGUAAAUGUGGAGCCGUAGCGAAAGCGAGUCUGAAUAGGGCGUUUAGUAUUUGGUCGUAGACCCGAAACCAGGUGAUCUACCCUUGGUCAGGUUGAAGUUCAGGUAACACUGAAUGGAGGACCGAACCGACUUACGUUGAAAAGUGAGCGGAUGAACUGAGGGUAGCGGAGAAAUUCCAAUCGAACCUGGAGAUAGCUGGUUCUCUCCGAAAUAGCUUUAGGGCUAGCCUCAAGUGAUGAUUAUUGGAGGUAGAGCACUGUUUGGACGAGGGGCCCCUCUCGGGUUACCGAAUUCAGACAAACUCCGAAUGCCAAUUAAUUUAACUUGGGAGUCAGAACAUGGGUGAUAAGGUCCGUGUUCGAAAGGGAAACAGCCCAGACCACCAGCUAAGGUCCCAAAAUAUAUGUUAAGUGGAAAAGGAUGUGGCGUUGCCCAGACAACUAGGAUGUUGGCUUAGAAGCAGCCAUCAUUUAAAGAGUGCGUAAUAGCUCACUAGUCGAGUGACACUGCGCCGAAAAUGUACCGGGGCUAAACAUAUUACCGAAGCUGUGGAUUGUCCUUUGGACAAUGGUAGGAGAGCGUUCUAAGGGCGUUGAAGCAUGAUCGUAAGGACAUGUGGAGCGCUUAGAAGUGAGAAUGCCGGUGUGAGUAGCGAAAGACGGGUGAGAAUCCCGUCCACCGAUUGACUAAGGUUUCCAGAGGAAGGCUCGUCCGCUCUGGGUUAGUCGGGUCCUAAGCUGAGGCCGACAGGCGUAGGCGAUGGAUAACAGGUUGAUAUUCCUGUACCACCUAUAAUCGUUUUAAUCGAUGGGGGGACGCAGUAGGAUAGGCGAAGCGUGCGAUUGGAUUGCACGUCUAAGCAGUAAGGCUGAGUAUUAGGCAAAUCCGGUACUCGUUAAGGCUGAGCUGUGAUGGGGAGAAGACAUUGUGUCUUCGAGUCGUUGAUUUCACACUGCCGAGAAAAGCCUCUAGAUAGAAAAUAGGUGCCCGUACCGCAAACCGACACAGGUAGUCAAGAUGAGAAUUCUAAGGUGAGCGAGCGAACUCUCGUUAAGGAACUCGGCAAAAUGACCCCGUAACUUCGGGAGAAGGGGUGCUCUUUAGGGUUAACGCCCAGAAGAGCCGCAGUGAAUAGGCCCAAGCGACUGUUUAUCAAAAACACAGGUCUCUGCUAAACCGUAAGGUGAUGUAUAGGGGCUGACGCCUGCCCGGUGCUGGAAGGUUAAGAGGAGUGGUUAGCUUCUGCGAAGCUACGAAUCGAAGCCCCAGUAAACGGCGGCCGUAACUAUAACGGUCCUAAGGUAGCGAAAUUCCUUGUCGGGUAAGUUCCGACCCGCACGAAAGGCGUAACGAUUUGGGCACUGUCUCAACGAGAGACUCGGUGAAAUCAUAGUACCUGUGAAGAUGCAGGUUACCCGCGACAGGACGGAAAGACCCCGUGGAGCUUUACUGUAGCCUGAUAUUGAAAUUCGGCACAGCUUGUACAGGAUAGGUAGGAGCCUUUGAAACGUGAGCGCUAGCUUACGUGGAGGCGCUGGUGGGAUACUACCCUAGCUGUGUUGGCUUUCUAACCCGCACCACUUAUCGUGGUGGGAGACAGUGUCAGGCGGGCAGUUUGACUGGGGCGGUCGCCUCCUAAAAGGUAACGGAGGCGCUCAAAGGUUCCCUCAGAAUGGUUGGAAAUCAUUCAUAGAGUGUAAAGGCAUAAGGGAGCUUGACUGCGAGACCUACAAGUCGAGCAGGGUCGAAAGACGGACUUAGUGAUCCGGUGGUUCCGCAUGGAAGGGCCAUCGCUCAACGGAUAAAAGCUACCCCGGGGAUAACAGGCUUAUCUCCCCCAAGAGUUCACAUCGACGGGGAGGUUUGGCACCUCGAUGUCGGCUCAUCGCAUCCUGGGGCUGUAGUCGGUCCCAAGGGUUGGGCUGUUCGCCCAUUAAAGCGGUACGCGAGCUGGGUUCAGAACGUCGUGAGACAGUUCGGUCCCUAUCCGUCGUGGGCGUAGGAAAUUUGAGAGGAGCUGUCCUUAGUACGAGAGGACCGGGAUGGACAUACCUCUGGUGUACCAGUUGUCGUGCCAACGGCAUAGCUGGGUAGCUAUGUGUGGACGGGAUAAGUGCUGAAAGCAUCUAAGCAUGAAGCCCCCCUCAAGAUGAGAUUUCCCAACUUCGGUUAUAAGAUCCCUCAAAGAUGAUGAGGUUAAUAGGUUCGAGGUGGAAGCAUGGUGACAUGUGGAGCUGACGAAUACUAAUCGAUCGAAGACUUAAUCAA
rnacentral:rRNA from 2 species